rnacentral:rRNA from 1 species
ACAUGAAGCUGGAAUCGCUAGUAAUCGCGGAUCAGAAUGCCGCGGUGAAUACGUUCCCGGGUCUUGUACACACCGCCCGUCACACCAUGGGAGUCGGAAAUGCCCGAAGUCUGUGACCGAACCGAAAGGGAGGAGCAGCCGAAGGCAGGUCGGAUGACUGGGGUGAAGUCGUAACAAGGUAUC